CCUACGGGUGGCUGCAGUGGGGAAUAUUGCACAAUGGGCGCAAGCCUGAUGCAGCCAUGCCGCGUGUGUGAAGAAGGCCUUCGGGUUGUAAAGCACUUUCAGCGGGGAGGAAGGCGGUGAGGUUAAUAACCUCAUCGAUUGACGUUACCCGCAGAAGAAGCACCGGCUAACUCCGUGCCAGCAGCCGCGGUAAUACGGAGGGUGCAAGCGUUAAUCGGAAUUACUGGGCGUAAAGCGCACGCAGGCGGUCUGUCAAGUCGGAUGUGAAAUCCCCGGGCUCAACCUGGGAACUGCAUUCGAAACUGGCAGGCUAGAGUCUUGUAGAGGGGGGUAGAAUUCCAGGUGUAGCGGUGAAAUGCGUAGAGAUCUGGAGGAAUACCGGUGGCGAAGGCGGCCCCCUGGACAAGGACUGACGCUCAGGUGCGAAAGCGUGGGGAGCAAACAGGAUUAGAUACCCCUGUAGUC
rnacentral:rRNA from 1 species